GUGGGGAAUAUUGCACAAUGGGCGAAAGCCUGAUGCAGCGACGCCGCGUGAGGGAUGACGGCCUUCGGGUUGUAAACCUCUUUCAGUAGGGAACAAGGCCAGUGUUUAGCUGGUUGAGGGUACUUGCAGAAGAAGCGCCGGCUAACUACGUGCCAGCAGCCGCGGUAAUACGUAGGGCGCAAGCGUUAUCCGGAAUUAUUGGGCGUAAAGAGCUCGUAGGCGGUUUGUCGCGUCUGCCGUGAAAGUCCGGGGCUCAACUCCGGAUCUGCGGUGGGUACGGGCAGACUAGAGUGAUGUAGGGGAGACUGGAAUUCCUGGUGUAGCGGUGAAAUGCGCAGAUAUCAGGAGGAACACCGAUGGCGAAGGCAGGUCUCUGGGCAUUAACUGACGCUGAGGAGCGAAAGCAUGGGGAGCGAACAGGAUUAGAAACCCUGGUAGUCC
rnacentral:rRNA from 1 species